CAGGAUGAACGCUAGCUACAGGCUUAACACAUGCAAGUCGAGGGGCAGCAUUGGAGUAGCAAUACUCAGAUGGCGACCGGCGCACGGGUGAGUAACACGUAUCCAACCUGCCGCUUACUCGGGGAUAGCCUUUCGAAAGAAAGAUUAAUACCCGAUGGUAUAAAGAGUUCGCAUGUUCUCUUUAUUAAAGAAUUUCGGUAAGCGAUGGGGAUGCGUUCCAUUAGAUAGUUGGCGGGGUAACGGCCCACCAAGUCUACGAUGGAUAGGGGUUCUGAGAGGAAGGUCCCCCACAUUGAAACUGAGACACGGUCCAAACUCCUACGGGAGGCAGCAGUGAGGAAUAUUGGUCAAUGGACGAGAGUCUGAACCAGCCAAAGUAGCGUGAAGGAUGACUGCCCUAUGGGUUGUAAACUUCUUUUAUAAGGGAAUAAAGUGAGGGACGUGUCCCUUUUUGUAUGUACCUUAUGAAUAAGGAUCGGCUAACUCCGUGCCAGCCGCCGC
rnacentral:rRNA from 1 species